rfam:Capsicum annuum cultivar Zunla-1 unplaced genomic scaffold scaffold3822, whole genome shotgun sequence
CAUCUUAGCCGGACGGGUCAAUGCGCGAUCAAGAAGGCCCAUGGCCUAGGUUGGCCACUUCCAUUGCACUCUGGAAGGGUGCCACCCUAAGGUCAACCCAAGUGGUUGAGCCACGUCUUAAUUUGUUGCAGUGGGGGCUUGUGAUAGUGAAACCCCUAU